GACGGGGGAUGCAAGCGUUAUCCGGGAUCACUGGGCGUAAAGCGUCUGUAGGUGGUGAUGCAAGUCACUGGUGCAAAACUCUGGCUCAACCGGAGGAAAGCCAGUGAAACUGCAUGACUAGAGUGUGGGAGAGGUAGAAGGAAUUCCCUGAGUAGCGGUGAAAUGCGUAGAUACAGGGAAGAACACCGGAGGCGAAAGCGUUCUACUGGAACACAACUGACACUGAGAGACGAAAGCUAGAGGAGCGAAGGGG
rnacentral:rRNA from 1 species